CAGCAGCCACGGGAAUACGUAGGUGACGAGCGUUGUCCGGAAUUAUUGGGCGUAAAGGGAGCGCAGGCGGUUGGAAUAGUCUGAUGUGAAAGCCCACGGCUUAACCGUGGAAGGUCAUUGGAAACUGUCCGACUUGAAUGCAGAAGAGGAAAGUGGAAUUCCAUGUGUAGCGGUGAAAUGCGUAGAUAUAUGGAGGAACACCAGUGGCGAAGGCGACUUUCUGGUCUGUAAUUGACGUUGAGGCUCGAAAGCGUGGGUAGCGAACAGGAUUAGAUACCCCCGUAGUCCCUGUCUCUUAUAC
rnacentral:rRNA from 1 species